UUGCUGGUUCGUGAAUAAUGGCUGGACGACAUCUCGCGUUCAACUCGUCUUCAACUCCUCUCUGCGGUCAGCAACUUUCCCCCAGUCCGCAGACAGACGAGAAGAAACUGCUGAAUGCUCUCAGUGGAUUGUCUCGUCAACUCCAACAACAAACUGCCGAUAUCAAUGAGCGGUUCGCUCAACUGGAGAGUUCGGUACUCUCCAGGUUGCUGUCCAUAGAGGAGAGGUUGGCGGCUCUGGAGGAACUGACUCAAAGAAGAGGAGACAGGCGCACAAUCCCAAGAUAGCGGUAAGAAUAUGUUCGAUGACUGCAAGCUAAGAUAAAAGUAGCGUAGCCUAAAACGAAAGCUAAGAGUAGCCUAGUAGCCUUACAAGUGAGCAGAAACAGCUUUAUGAAAGUGUAUUUUCUUUGCCGUGUCAUUUACAGGAAGCGGUGCGCCGUCUUCACAACUCUGAGACGAAUUACAGGCGCUACGAACCGGAGCAAGGACUAAUCUCGCCUCAUAAUGAGGCGGUGACCUCGUAUUUGCUCCGGGAAAUAUCUGCAAGUCCAGAUUUCGAUUUAGAUAAAGACGUCAUUGUGUCCGCCUGUAAGAUGUAUUUUGAGACGGUAUGCAGGAGCUUCAGGUUUUCCCAGCCGGAACACUCAUUGCGGGCAGAAGGUGCGAAGAAUUCAGCGCGGAGUCGAGCGAGAAGAAAGAGGCCGCUGGAAUCGAGACAAACAGCGUGGUUACAUGGGUUCGAAUAACUGGCUUAGUCGGACUGAAAUCGAAUUAUCCGUUUCAUGUAAACACCUUUGUCCGACUAUGUGCGGUCCGACUACAAUCCGACUAACACUCCUGGAUAACUCGAUCUGAUCCAGUUGAUAGUUUGACUUUUGCGGCAUGUAACGGUGAAUCGGAUAAGGAACUGGACUUUGCGUCUUUGCUCAUGCUUGAGAUCCCGACGGCGUCUUCUCUCCGUUAUCAAAUCAGCCGAUAGCGCCAUUCGCAUCCGCUGUACUCCUAUUAACAUCAUGCAAAAAUAGUAGAGGGAUGUAGCUUCACCUUGCUCUCUGUUUGCCAUCUUUCGCAUAAUGUUGAUGUUGUUGUUGGUUGUUGUUGGUAGUGGUGAAGAGGUCAAGCGAAAAUGGCUGUAUCACAACUAGUUGUAAUGAAAACAGCGCCACCUAUCGUAUCGGAUAUGACAUGCUUUCGGCCAAUGAUUAAAUUUAUUCACUGCCAUGUAUAUUGGGAUAAUAGCACUUGCCCCAAAAGAUAGCACAGUCCGACUAAGCAAAGAUUCAAAUUAUACCAUCAUGUAAACACUCACUGUGUGCUGGCUGAUGACGAGGUGGAACUCUGGAAAUCUGCCACCGUAGCGCUCAUGUCAGACGAAGAGGAUGGCGUUGUUGGCGGGGUCUCGGGGUGGAUUGUACGGUCGCCGCCAUUUCGUAGGCCUAAGCUGCAGUCCCGGUUAGAGGCGACUCAGAAAUACAGAGCCACACACACACUAGGCGCCUGCACAACAGACCUGCCUCGGAAAAUAUGCCGCCAGUGGCAGUCUACAACCCCGAGGAGGCAAACGGACAGUUUACUGAGCUGUAGUUUUUUAAACCGCCUUUACCCAAGUGUGGGCAGCUCCUUUGUAUAUAGUUGUUAUUUGUAUGUUGUUAAUAAAGCUCUUUCUUUGCAUAAACAUGUUCGUGGC
ensembl:lncRNA